GCCGGAGUGGUGGAAUUGGUAUACGCAGUGGACUCAAAAUCCACCGAGGGCAACCUCUUGUGAGUUCGAGUCUCACCUCCGGCACCA
rnacentral:tRNA from 1 species